rnacentral:rRNA from 1 species
GACAGAGGGUGCAAACGUUGUUCGGAAUUACUGGGCGUAAAGGGCGCGUAGGCGGCCUGGUCAGUCCCGUGUGAAAUCCCUCGGCUCAACUGAGGAACUGCACGGGAAACUGCCUGGCUUGAGUUCGGGAGAGGGAAGCGGAAUUCCGGGUGUAGCGGUGAAAUGCGUAGAUAUCCGGAGGAACACCGGUGGCGAAGGCGGCUUCCUGGACCGACACUGACGCUGAGGCGCGAAAGCGUGGGGAGCAAACAGG